GAUGAAGAACGUAGCGAAAUGCGAUAAGUAAUGUGAAUUGCAGAAUUCAGUGAAUCAUCGAAUCUUUGAACGCACAUUGCGCCCCCUGGUAUUCCGGGGGGCAUGCCUGUUCGAGCGUCAUUUCACCACUCAAGCCUCGCUUGGUAUUGGGCAACGCGGUCCGCCGCGUGCCUCAAAUCGUCCGGCUGGGUCUUCUGUCCCCUAAGCGUUGUGGAAACUAUUCGCUAAAGGGUGUUCGGGAGGCUACGCCGUAAAACAACCCCAUUUCUAAGGUUGACCUCGGAUCAGGUAGGGAUACCCGCUGAACUUAAGCAUAUCCAAUAAGGAGGA
rnacentral:misc_RNA from 1 species